UCGGGAAUUUUGGGCAAUGGGCGAAAGCCUGACCCAGCAACGCCGCGUGAAGGAUGAAGUAUUUCGGUAUGUAAACUUCGAAAGAAUAGGAAGAAUAAAUGACGGUACUAUUUAUAAGGUCCGGCUAACUACGUGCCAGCAGCCGCGGUAAUACGUAGGGACCAAGCGUUGUUCGGAUUUACUGGGCGUAAAGGGCGCGUAGGCGGUGUGUCAAGUCAGUUGUGAAAUCUCCGAGCUUAGCUCGGAACGGUCAACUGAUACUGUCACACUAGAGUACAGAAGGGGCAAUCGGAAUUCUUGGUGUAGCGGUGAAAUGCGUAGAUAUCAAGAGGAACACCUGAGGCGAAGGCGGGUUGCUGGGCUGAUACUGACGCUGAGGCGCGAAAGCUAGGGUAGCAAACGGGAUUAGAUACCCAGGUAGUCCCUGAGCGGGCUGGCAAGGCGCAU
rnacentral:rRNA from 1 species